GGUGUCUGUAUGAGACAAGUCUCUGCAGUGAGAUCUAUAUACGAGGGCUCCGGCGCUUAAGCAAAAUGAGAAGUCCCAGAGUCCAACCUUCUGCAAACUGGAGAGCCUGAAAAGGCAGUGAUGAAAUUCAGUCCAGGUAUGAUGGCCAUGGAGAGCCAAGGGAGGCCACUAGGACAGGUUGCCUGGAGUCUCGAGGCUGGAGAAUCAGAAGCUCUGAUUUCUGAGGCAAGAAACGAUGGCUUUCGACUAGACAUUGGACAUAUCACCUCACACUCUCACUCUGAGAUUAGGGAGCACUGUGAAAGAGUCAGUGAAGAGAUGUGAAGUAGGUCACACCCACCCUCGUUGAGGCUACCAGGAAACACCCUCCCAGGCAUAAUCAGGCAUGAAGCUGAUGCCCAGCUCUCUGGGCAUCCCACAGUCCAGUCUGGUUGACAACUUUAUGAGCACCAUCAGUGAGCUCCAGAUGAAGUGAUGUCAGUGAUAAAAGGAGCUUACUUUGGGCUGAGGAUCUCGGGGGAAGUGUCAGAGAAAAGGUGACUUUGAACCGGAUCUUGAAGGAUAGAAAGGUUUUGCAGAUUAAAACCAACCAACGGGGAAUUUUCCGAGGCUGGCAGUCACAGCUUUCUCUUCAGACAGCUUUUCCUCCAGCCAUGCAGACGGGGGAAGAAAAUUGUACAAUUGCCCUGCAGGAACGAUGAGGUGGAUACCAGCACACAGUAAGCACUCAAUGGCAUGUUAUGUGUUCAAGAUUAUUGUUUUAUUGGCCCUACUGUGGAUCAACAGAAUGACCUUGGACCUACUUUUCUUCUGUGUAAAUAAUAAAGAUAGAUGCUUCCCA